rnacentral:rRNA from 1 species
CCUACGGGUGGCGGCAGUGGGGAAUAUUGGACAAUGGGCGAAAGCCUGAUCCAGCCAUGCCGCGUGUGUGAAGAAGGCCUUCGGGUUGUAAAGCACUUUCAGUGGGGAAGAAAGCCUUGGGGCUAAUACCCUCGAGGAAGGACAUCACCCACAGAAGAAGCACCGGCUAACUCCGUGCCAGCAGCCGCGGUAAUACGGAGGGUGCGAGCGUUAAUCGGAAUUACUGGGCGUAAAGCGCGCGUAGGCGGUCUGAUAAGCCGGUUGUGAAAGCCCCGGGCUCAACCUGGGAACGGCAUCCGGAACUGUCAGGCUAGAGUGCAGGAGAGGAAGGUAGAAUUCCCGGUGUAGCGGUGAAAUGCGUAGAGAUCGGGAGGAAUACCAGUGGCGAAGGCGGCCUUCUGGACUGACACUGACGCUGAGGUGCGAAAGCGUGGGUAGCAAACAGGAUUAGAUACCCGGGUAGUC